rnacentral:rRNA from 1 species
AACGAACGUUAGCGGCGCGCUUAACACUUGCAAGUCGAGCGAGAAAGGGGCAACCCCGGUAAAGCGGCGCACGGGUGAGUAACACGUAGGUAAUCUACCCUCCGGUGGUGGAUAACUUUCCGAAAGGAAAGCUAAUACAGCAUGGGACCACGACUCCGAAAGGAGUUGAGGUGAAAGUCGGCCUCUUCACGAAAGCCGAC